UACGUAGGGUGCGAGCGUUGUCCGGAAUUAUUGGGCGUAAAGGGCUCGUAGGCGGUUUGUCGCGUCGGGUGUGAAAUCCACUGGCUUAACUGGUGGAUUGCUUUCGAUACGGGCAGACUGGAGGUAUGCAGGGGAGAACGGAAUUCCUGGUGUAGCGGUGAAAUGCGCAGAUAUCAGGAGGAACACCGGUGGCGAAGGCGGUUCUCUGGGCAUGUCCUGACGCUGAUGCGCGACAGCAUGGGGAGCAAACAGG
rnacentral:rRNA from 1 species